rfam:Triticum aestivum genome assembly, contig: Triticum_aestivum_CS42_TGACv1_scaffold_631508_7DS
CAAGUACUCCCUCCGUUCGGAAUUACUUGUCAUCAAAAUGGAUGUGUCUAGAACUAAAAUACAUCUAGAUACAUCCAUUUCAAUGACAAGUAUUUUUGGACGGAGGGAGUACAAG